rnacentral:rRNA from 1 species
CUCAGAUUGAACGCUGGCGGCAGGCCUAACACAUGCAAGUCGAGCGGUAGCACAGAGAGCUUGCUCUCGGGUGACGAGCGGCGGACGGGUGAGUAAUGUCUGGGAAACUGCCUGAUGGAGGGGGAUAACUACUGGAAACGGUAGCUAAUACCGCAUAACGUCGCAAGACCAAAGUGGGGGACCUUCGGGCCUCAUGCCAUCAGAUGUGCCCAGAUGGGAUUAGCUAGUAGGUGAGGUAACGGCUCACCUAGGCGACGAUCCCUAGCUGGUCUGAGAGGAUGACCAGCCACACUGGAACUGAGACACGGUCCAGACUCCUACGGGAGGCAGCAGUGGGGAAUAUUGCACAAUGGGCGCAAGCCUGAUGCAGCCAUGCCGCGUGUAUGAAGAAGGCCUUCGGGUUGUAAAGUACUUUCAGCGGGGAGGAAGGCGAUAAGGUUAAUAACCUUGUCGAUUGACGUUACCCGCAGAAGAAGCACCGGCUAACUCCGUGCCAGCAGCCGCGGUAAUACGGAGGGUGCAAGCGUUAAUCGGAAUUACUGGGCGUAAAGCGCACGCAGGCGGUCUGUCAAGUCGGAUGUGAAAUCCCCGGGCUCAACCUGGGAACUGCAUUCGAAACUGGCAGGCUAGAGUCUUGUAGAGGGGGGUAGAAUUCCAGGUGUAGCGGUGAAAUGCGUAGAGAUCUGGAGGAAUACCGGUGGCGAAGGCGGCCCCCUGGACAAAGACUGACGCUCAGGUGCGAAAGCGUGGGGAGCAAACAGGAUUAGAUACCCUGGUAGUCCACGCCGUAAACGAUGUCGAUUUGGAGGUUGUGCCCUUGAGGCGUGGCUUCCGGAGCUAACGCGUUAAAUCGACCGCCUGGGGAGUACGGCCGCAAGGUUAAAACUCAAAUGAAUUGACGGGGGCCCGCACAAGCGGUGGAGCAUGUGGUUUAAUUCGAUGCAACGCGAAGAACCUUACCUGGUCUUGACAUCCACAGAACUUAGCAGAGAUGCUUUGGUGCCUUCGGGAACUGUGAGACAGGUGCUGCAUGGCUGUCGUCAGCUCGUGUUGUGAAAUGUUGGGUUAAGUCCCGCAACGAGCGCAACCCUUAUCCUUUGUUGCCAGCGGUUAGGCCGGGAACUCAAAGGAGACUGCCAGUGAUAAACUGGAGGAAGGUGGGGAUGACGUCAAGUCAUCAUGGCCCUUACGACCAGGGCUACACACGUGCUACAAUGGCGCAUACAAAGAGAAGCGACCUCGCGAGAGCAAGCGGACCUCAUAAAGUGCGUCGUAGUCCGGAUUGGAGUCUGCAACUCGACUCCAUGAAGUCGGAAUCGCUAGUAAUCGUAGAUCAGAAUGCUACGGUGAAUACGUUCCCGGGCCUUGUACACACCGCCCGUCACACCAUGGGAGUGGGUUGCAAAAGAAGUAGGUAGCUUAACCUUCGGGAGGGCGCUUACCACUUUGUGAUUC